UUGUACCGAAACAGUGUGAACUUAUUAAUCUCUGUCUCUGUCAACACCCAACAGAUUCUUUUGUCUCUCUUUCUUCGGUUAUAAUCCGCUUGUCCAGUAUUCACUUUUAUUCACACUCAAUUUGCAUCUCUCUAUAUAUAACUAUAAAUGUUACAGUAGAUCUACGAAUUCAUACCCCCUCUCUCUCUCUCUCUCUCUCUCUCUCUCUCUCUCUCGAUGAGAGAGGAGUUUCAGAAUUGCAAUUUUAAGUCAUAUCCACUAGCUGUUCACCUAAGAUUGAGUUUGAUCAGAAUUUUAGUUUAUAUCCAUUAGCUGUUCACUGAAGGUUGAUGUUUGAUCAGAACCUUGGACCACAACACUUGAUAUUGUUGGUUCAGAAGGAUGUACUACUACUAAAUCACUUGAUAUUGUUGGUUCAGAGGGAUGUACUACUAAAAGAAGAGUUUGACCAUCUACAUUGACUUCUCAAAUUUGUAAGCAUUUUUGCUGUUCUAUUUAAAAUUUGAUAAUUUGCUUCCAAUUUUCAUAUUCCAAAAGCCAAAAUGUCUCUAUCAUGUCCCAAAAGCUCUGAAAAGUUAAUUGAAUGGGUGGGGAGAAAUAUUGCCAUGUCAUUAAUGUUUCUACAGUUAACUGUUUGAUAAUAUUAAUGCCCGAGUUUGUUCUCACAUUCUGACAUGUAUAUGAUGAAUAAGGGGAGUACCACCAACUCUUGGGUCUUUCCCUUGAAGCUUCCUAAAAGUGACAUGAUCCAUGUGGUCCACAACCAUUUCUUGUAAAAGGGAUAAAGCAGGCAGUUGAGGUUUUGUGCUGAUUAAGGUCACACGUAUGGUGUCCACUUAUAUAAUACAGGACUUGAUGGAUUGAACCAUAAUCCUAAAAUUGUUGGUGUCACAAUACAUUGGUUCUGGUUCUCCCUUCUCACAAUACAAAAGUUAAUGGCAUAAAGAAUCACAUGACGACUCACUCUGACCAUUGUAGAAUUUUCCAGUCUGAUUACAACUGCUAUACCUUAGGAUUUUUCUGUGUGAUUUAAAAGCAUUGACUGUUUGAUUCUUAGGAUUUUUCUGUGUGAUUUAAAAGCAUUGACUGUUUGAUUCUAUUUAAUCCAGUAGAUACUUGAAUAAUUACCCGAGGCCAAAGGCAUUGUUUAGGUGGAAGUUCUGCAUAUAUGGUACCUCCUCUAUUGUCACAGACUAGGUCGGAAAAAAAAAAAAAAAAAAAAAAAAAAAAUUCACACACAAACACAAAUCUGGUACUCUUUCCUUCCAAACAUUAUUAGCGAAGU